CAGCCUCAAGGGCCACAUCUUGAUCAUGCCUCUUUCGGACAGUGGCAUCAUACUACUGAGCACCUCACGCAUAUUACCCUUCAUCCUCACACCAGCCCUGUGAGGUCUGUAAAAUCGCUCUGGCAUGCAGCUAUCAUGAAAAUAAUAAAAGAAUUUUUCUAAUCCCACUGAACAAUGAACCAGACUCGGCGCUAGGAUUCACUCUCACGGUUUGGAGUACCCAGUUGUUCUGCUGUGCGGUUGCUGAAGAUCCCCAAGGAGCAAGCCUGGCUCCUGAGCACCAAGAAAUGGAAU